AGCAAUUGAUAGAAAUGUUAUUAGUAACCAUUGAAUAAAUGCAUCAGUCGGUGCGCAGCUCCCGAAUAGUAAACAUCUCUGCUGAUAAUUAUUUUGCUCUCAACAACCAUUGUGGUAGUCAACUACCAACUACCAAAUUUUCGAUUUACAAUACCAACUGUCGGCUAUCAAUUAUCAGAUAACAAAUAAUUAUUAUUUGCCUGGUGUUGAUUUGAUCACAGUAGCAUUGGAAUUUACGCUGUCGACAAUUUCGAGGUUAAUUUUUAUUUUUGGAACAGACAGACGGACAGGCAAAGCGUCCACAAUAGGUUCUUUUUAUAAGGAGACCCAGUAGCUAUCGAUUGAGUAUAGUGAAACACGAGUCCAAAGGCUGACUUCUGGUAGCUCUGGAACAAAGUCCUUUGUAUGGGAUGAAAAAUUCUAGAAGCUAUAUCUCUGGCCAGGAGGCUCGGACCCAUGAGGUACUUUGGAUUUUGAAGUCUUAAUUUACAAGCUUUCAAAAGAUUAUAAGAAGAAGACGUCGAUCCGAGGCUUCCUUCUCAUAGCUCCAAAACAAAUACGAGUAAUUGUUACAACGAGACCAGAUAAAUACGAUUUGACAAUUACCUUACUUCAUGUAAGAACGAUUUAGCUCACAUGAGUUGUAAUGAGCUGAUGUGUGAGAGGACCCGUGUUCGAUCCUAGAGAUGUGCGGUUUUUUAUUUCAGAAAUACAACUCUCAAGAUAGAGCUUAGGAUGCGUUCACAUUUCAUGUGCUUGUUUCUCUCAUGUGCUGGCAUACCAGUAAUUGUUGCAGUCAUGAAACCUAAACAAUCUGUAAAGAGUCUGUUCAAUAAAAGCAUCUAUUUAUCAAAAUGUGUGUGUCACCCGCCUUCGUGGUAACUGUACUUUCAGAACCUUGGUCUAUUAUCCUCAACACGAAUUGCUUAUUUUCCAAAUAGCACUUACCCUAUUUGUCAUUGCUUUUUUAGGUGAUUCUUGACGGUUUCGUGAACGAGUUUGUAAAGAAAAAAUGAGUCGAACAAUAAUAACCGUACCAUGAACAAUGUAUAUAGUCCUCAAAUCGGUUUCAGCUUAUAUCUGCGACAGAAACGGCAAUCGUUCCAUAUCACCGGCCUGAAGUACCUGCCAGAUUUUCGCCAAACUAACACGUGAUUUUAGGACGCGAAACAGUUUUUAGUGAAUGACUUUGUGUAUUUUUCUCUCGAAAAUUUCAAGCCGGCUGAGCUGGGCUCAAAUCACCAGCGACUCGGCCUGGCCAAAAAAAAAAGGUAACUGCUAGAACGGCGGCUCUCAUGUCUGGCACUAUCAAAACAAAUAGUGUCAUUCGCGACGCAAAAGCUUGUGUUGUUGCUGAAAUGUGAAUGUCGUAGAAUUUUCGGAACAAUAUGUUCCUAAGCAUACUACGUGCAGUGGUUACCCCCUCGUCACAAACUGUAGAUUUGCUUGAACGGAACGGAAUUAACACUUGACGAAUUUCUUAGAAUUUAACGAUCGUGUUUUUUAUAAUGUACCUCGCAAUAUAACAGUUCCAAUCAGAAACACAAAGACAACACAGCGGUGCAGUCAAUAUCAGGGAGUGCAAUAAAAUGUUGAAGAAAUGGAUGAAACAAAUGGCAUUGAUGAUCGUAUCCAUUUUAAUGGUAUCAACGUCUGAUGGCUUCAGUUUAGAUUGUAAAUAUUCAGUGGUAAAGUGGGAUAUUGGAAGAAUGUACACAUGUACAGCUACAGUGAUUUUGGAUGGCGACACUAAAGACGUAACGAAUGUUACCGACAAUCACAUGGAAGGACGAAAUAACAGUGAUGUAAAAGCUGCACUUAUUUACAACCAAAAUUUAAAAUUUGCGCCGCGAAAUAUUCAAAAAUUCUUUAAACAUCUCGAAGCAUUUUCUUUGUUUAACAAUUCCAUUGAAGAGGUGACGAGCGAAUGUUUAACUGGCCUAGAACAGUUGAGAUAUUUUAAUUUCCUGUACAAUAACGUGGAGAUUAUCGAAAGCGAUUUGUUCACUACCAACCAAAUGAUAGAGUGGAUAGACUUUGGUUUCAAUCCAAUAAGACACGUCGGCCACAAUACAUUCGAUAAUCUACGUUCCCUUCAAACUUUAAAUUUUACUCAGACGACGUGCAUUGAUCAAUGUGGAGUCGACAGCGACUCUGUUGAAUAUCUUAAAACGCAACUCAUCAUCAGAUGUCCGCCAAAAUUUGA